CCCAGAAACUGUCAACACAGUCAUCCCCUCAGAGAAGAAAGGAGACUCUGAAAAAACAGACAUGUGUCUAAGGGAAACUGGGGAAAAUGGAGCCACCAGUGCAUAUUGACAGUCUGCUGGAAUGCUCUUGGUGCUAUCUCAGUCGAGGGCCUGUCUGCUCCUCCCUGCCUUCCUGCUGGCCUGUUCCAGCCGUUACAGUGUGGGGACGCCAUGAUAACGUUAUCAGACAGCCUCCA